CCGCCCGCGGCUUGAUCCUCUCUCCCUUGCUUGCUCCAGAGGCGCCCCGCCCCGCUUGGCUUCCCGGCUCUCGGCGUCCUCCCACCCGGAUCCAUUGCACGCUGUGGCCAGGCGGCGAUGGAGCCCCGUGGCUCCUGCCCAGCCAACCUGCUCUUCUCUUUCAGGCCCUGGUUGAGGGUAAAGAAUGGAAUCGGCUGUUUUGUGUAUUUGCCUCUGUGCUUGGAACUGGCAUAUAGAAGCUCCAUCUUCUCCAGUCACUGUCAGAAUCUGGUAAAGAAUGUUUUGGCCCUUUAAGUAGACUGGGGAACUGAGGCUAAACCAAAGCAAUAGUUAGCAAUGCUAGGACCCACCAAAUCAGAGCCCAACCUUUUUGAAGCUGGAGGGCAAGAUUCCAGGAGUUCAGGACCAGGUUGAGUCCUCUGUAUACUUACUGGUGGCACUGGCUUACAGGAUUGCGUAAAUAAUCAGAUGAAGAAAGCAGUGACCUAUUCAUUGUUUGAGAGGAACAAAUUAGAUGAAUAGAUUAAAUUGAUACGUGAUCCCCAUUCUCUAGGAUCACAUAGGAGACAAACAGAACAAACACACUGGGCAUAGUAAGCCACAGAGAGCCAUGAGCAAAUUGGAGGUGGAGGUAGCUGAGUUUGGAGAGCUACUCAAAGAGAUGACCUGCAAGACUUGAGCUACUUUACAGAGUGGGUUAGGAGUGCAGCUGGAACAUCGCCUAGGGCAGGGUGGCAGGGUGGCAGUGUGUGUGUGUGGUUUAUGAAACAGUGAACUUCCUGAAGUCAAGGAGGAUGAUGGGUCUGUUACAGAGUGCCUGGCAAAUAGGCAGGACAUGGUUGGUGCUGGCUGAAGGGGCACUAUUAUCAAAUCAGUAACAGACUUCAUAAGAAACCCUAUUCUGCACCAGCGUUCCAUGACUUACACUCAUUGUAUUUAAUUAUUAACAACCAUCUGAGAAAGGUCAAACAGUCUGACCAAGGUGCCUCACUAUGUAGCAGAGAAGGACUCACUUGCCCAUUUGUUCUAGUCUAAACUCUCUGCCCAUGUUCCUGUUCUCAAAGAGGAAAGCGCUCAGUUCUCAGCCUCGUCUACCACUGAGGAUGACCUUUUCUAAGGGGGGGUGGGGUCCUGACCUCUUUUCCCAGGCCUGGAAUCUCCGCUUAAGCAUGUCUGAAGCAACGUGUCUCCUCUGAGAACACAUGAAGAAGCCCCCUUUCCAUCAGACGCUCUUCCUGUCAACAGCUUUUCUUUCUAGCCAGGGAACUCAUCACAGGUAUUUUCCAAAAAAAAA
rnacentral:lncRNA from 1 species